UUUAAACAGACCAACUUACAAUUAUUUAAUUUGUACAACUGUGCGGUAAUGAAUUAAGGAAUUGAGGAAUUGAGGACUCCGUGCUGGUCCUGGUAUUUAAACUCAAGACCUUCUGAUCAGAGGUUCAUCAUCUUAUUAGUUACUGAUGUAUUCAAUGUCGGUGUGUCCACAAACUUUUGGCCAUAUAGUGUAUGUCUUGGGAUCAUGGCGAGGAAAAAGGCCACCAGGGGCGCUGUAAACUGCAGAAGAUCCUUCAGUUAAGAACAUAAUAAAGCAGAAAAACAGAAACAGAUGUAAAACAGGUGAUCUUCACCUUGUUGUGUGUGGAGUCAGUGAAGACGUGGGAAUGCACGAUGGAAACGAUGGAAUGCAGUCGAACUCGCUAAAUCUUGUGUCUAUCGCUUAAUAAAUAUACAGUUUUAUUUGA